rnacentral:lncRNA from 1 species
GCCAUGAGGGCGGGAACCCUCGUACGCGGAAGUUCAUGAGGGCGGGACCCUCGUACGCGGAAGGUCAUGAGGGCGGGACCCUCGUACGCGGAAGUUCAUGCGGGCGGGACCCUCGUACGUGGAAGGUCAUGAGGGCGGGACCCUCGUACGUGGAAGGUCAUGAGGGCGGAACCCUGGUACAUGAAAUUCGUUCUCUUAUUUAAGAGACAAAGAACGCCCUUGUUUUUUCCACCACGUGAUGGCGCAGACAGAAGACAACCAGCAUCUAUGAACCAGGAAGCCCCCACCAGGCACUGAAUCUGCCCCUGCGUGGAUCUUAGACUUGCAGACUCCAGAACUAACCUUACAAUGUCUCUUCUCCAUUAAGAAAACCUACUUCAACAUCUCCAUUGGUUCUCAACAUAGAGGUCCAAAUUUUGGUCUGGAGCCAGAGACAAUAUAGGAUGAAGUUUGAUUUGUUCCAAAACCCACAGAAAUCUCUAAAAUGGAAGAAUUUUCUUAGAACCAAAAGGCAUGGAAUUGAUGACAUGAAACUGUUGAAUUCUCCUGGAGGCCAUGGUAAUGCUCCUGGGUAAAUGGAGGAAGGGUCAAGAAUUAUGGAAAAUAAAGCUGAAACUUAAUAUCACAAAAGCUUAAGGCGUCAUAAAAAUGCACACAAUAUGCAGAUGUCCAUGAGCAUAACCCCAUGGCCCAAAUCAGGUUUAAGCUGGGUGGUUUAGCCCCAGGUUUUGUAAAGUUCUAUAAAACGUUUUCUGAGAAUCAAGUUCUGUUCUUAACACUGUAUGGUGGAAACUGUGCAGUUUCUACUUUUCCCUUUAUCCCUUAUUGCUCUUCCCUUUUUAUCUUGUCUUCCACUUUAAUCAAGACCACAACCUAGGAGGUUGCAGGCUUUAAGAAGACAUAAUUAUAUAAAAGAAUGAAGAGUCAGAGAGGCUGCUAGUCUUCAUCCAUUUUCAACUAUUGCAGCUGCCCCCACCUCUGCACAGAUCCCUCCAUUGCUGAUCGAUUUUGAGGAGCCAAGGAUGGCCAGCUCACACUGGAGAGUGGCAUUUCCUUCACUCAGAGGCCCUCAUUUGACAUUGACUGGUCACUUUAUGAUGAAUUUUAUU